ACUGAAUAAUCAACAGUGUUAUAGAGGGGCCUACUGUAUAUUGUGAAAUUUCCAAAGACAAAGCAAAUUAGUAUGAAUGCUCAUGUUGCUACACCUGUAUCUAUGAGCAGUUAUAAGAUACAAAGAAAUAAAAUGCACCUUAGACGACUGAUAUCUAAUGUACAAAAAUGUUCAUAGAUGAAAUGGUGCUUAUCGAACAUGCCAACUCUGCUAGUUACUGUAUCGAGGUUAAAAAUUCAUAAAUUUUUAAUAAAUUAAGACUUUUUGGAAAUUACAAUAGAUGAGAAAAGCUGUAUUGAAAGAUGAUGGCAUCAAACUAUGAGAUUAUCAACAAGAAAUCGCAGUAAUGCUGCUUGCGAUCUUUGAAGUCUGUGGCAGCGUGAUAUUGAUUUUCACGUAAAACAGGUUAUACUUUUAAUUUGUUGUUGAAGCUUUAAACA